rnacentral:rRNA from 1 species
AUGGGGCUCUGCAGGUCUACCGGCAGCGCGGUGGCGGCGGCGGCGCGGGCAAAGGGGCAGCCUGCCUCGACGGCUAUAGUACUGCUGCCAACGGGUGAGCUGCGGGAGUACUCGCGGCCGGCCACAGCGGGCCAGGCGCUCGACGACUUGGUGGCUGGGGACGCCGGCUGGUUCUUGUGCGACGCCGACGAGAUGGCGUUCGAUGGCCGCGUGGCAGCCAUGCCCCAGGCCGAGGAGCUCCGCCCGGAGCAGAUAUACUUCGUGCUCCCCGCUGAGGCUCGACAGAACGGCCUCCGGCGCGAGGACCUCGCCGCUCUCGCUGUCAGUGCAUCCGCGGCGCUCGUCAAUAAGGCCAACACCGCCUUGUCCGCCGGACGACGACGGAGGCGCGCCGGCUCGGUAGCCCCGCUCGUUUUCGCUCCACCGCAGGAGACCGUGGCUUACAAGACCGUGGCGGCGCUGGCAGCGAAGAGGCGGCCGGUGGCGCGUGCGAAGAGUGCAGGGAGGAUGAAGCCCCGGUUCGCACCCGAUCUGAGCGCCAUUCCCGAGUGCGAGUGA